UUUCCUUUUGUCUUACAGCAACGAGCCAUGUUGUCGUGCUUUUAGAUUUCCUAAAAGUGCAGAGUCGUUGGUUGAUAAAGUGCAACAUCAUGCCCUUGAAUUGCAGGUGCCGAAUCUUUUUCCACCACAUAAACUGUAAGUUAGUUUUAUGUGAAUGUGGUAGGUAGGGAUAUGGUUUGGUGACGCUGUUUAUGGGCAGCGUCUGGGUAUUUGUACCAGUUACGAAAACGUUGCUGUAAGUGCUGUCAUAAAACGCGUCACAGCGGAGAAGCUUCUUUCCUCAAUAUGAAAAUGGAAAAGAGGUGUUCUCCUGGUCGGUGGGCAGCUCUCUCUCCUCCACGCAGCGGUUCAGGGACUUUCUGUCUUGUGAUUCUUUCCUCCUCGUGCUAGCUUGAGGCUUCACAUUGAGCCUUUGGGGGCUUCACAUGUGAGGCCACUGCAGCUGGUGAGGCUGUUUUAAAAUGGGUGGGCAGGUGGCUUGAGGCCUUUACGGCAAAAUUUGAGCAAAGUGAGAACCAGAAAUGUGGUGUGCUUCCCCCAAGCGUGUGUCCCGGGCCAGCCAUUUGUGUUCGUCGUGUCAUUCUUCAGUUUAUGUCCACUGCUGGCUAAUUCGCUUAGUGAUCAUCAGCGUUUUCUGAUGGUUCCCUGGAGCAUGAGAAGAGUCACGUAACCGGCAACUUUUCAGGUGUCAGUCAAGUGGCGCGGGACUGUCAUCCUGCAGGUUCUGCCUCACGGUGGUGGCACCAUCUCUGAAAAUGGCCUGGAAGCACCUGAAGCGGUGUUGGUGGCUUAGACCAGCUGCCCUGCCUUGAGAAGGCUCCUUCUGAGAACAAGGAUGCAUCUUUGUGUAUAGAAGAGAAGAACCACACCGCCGUGCAGCCUAAAGCAGACAGAAGAGAUACCCCAGUAAGAGGAGGAAAGUUCUGACCAGAAGGAACUUGUCUUCAAAUCAGAAAGGUUUAUCAAAUACUAAACAAGAUUAAAUAUUAGGGGGGGAGGGCUCAGAUUCUAGCCUUUUCCUGAUGAGCUUUCUGAACCCCAAGAAGAAAGGAUAAAUCCUGAAGGUAUCUGGCUAAGAAGUCGUGGGUCAACUACAAAGCGGAUCGGAUUGCCAGGCCUGUUCUCUGUGCACGUGAAUAGAUCUUCCAUGGGUAUUGUAACUGGAUACCGGAAAGCAGGACAGGACUGCGACCCUGACGCGCCGUUGCUGGUGUGUGGGGGCGGGAGAGCCAUUUUAAAGCCUCUGUGACCUCAGUGUGCCCAUCUGGUUUCUGUUCAGGGGGUACAUUUUGUGAAGAUUGUACUUUGCCGAAACCAACGGAAAAUAAGUUAGAAUAAAGAACUCGAAGGGA